AACGAACGCUGGCGGCAGGCUUAAUACAUGCAAGUCGAACGCGUGUAGCAAUACACGAGUGGCAGACGGGUGAGUAACGCGUGGGAAUCUACCCAGUGGUACGGAAUAACCCAGGAACUGGGACUAAGUAACCGUACUGAGCCCUCAAGGGGAAAGGAAUCUAUCGCCAUUGGAUGAGCCCGCGUCGGAUUAGCUUGUUGGUGGGGUAAUGGCCUACCAAGGCGACGAUCCGUAGCUGGUCUGAGAGGAUGAUCAGCCACACUGGGACUGAGACACGGCCCAGACUCCUACGGGAGGCAGCAGUAGGGAAUAUUGGACAAUGGGCGAAAGCCUGAUCCAGCCAUGCCGCGUGAGUGAUGAAGGCCUUAGGGUUGUAAAGCUCUUUCAGCAGGGAAGAUAAUGACGGUACCCGCAGAAGAAGCCCCGGCUAACUUCGUGCCAGCAGCCGCGGUAAUACGAAGGGGCUAGGCUUG
rnacentral:rRNA from 1 species